AGUGAACGCUGGCGGCGUGCCUAACACAUGCAAGUCGAACGGAGAUUAAGUGGCUUGCUGGUUUAUCUUAGUGGCGCACGGGUGAGUAAUAUGUAGCUAACUUGCCCAUUACUAUGGGAUAACAGCUGGAAACGACUGCUAAUACCUGAUACUCCGUACCUCUAUAAGUAGAUACGGGAAAGUUUUUCGGUAAUGGAUAGGGCUAUAUCGUAUAAGCUAGUUGGUAAGGUACUGGCUAACAAAGGCUAUGACGCGUAACUGGUCUGGGAGGAUGAUCAGACACACUGGAACUGAGACACGGUCCAGACUCCUACGGGAGGCAGCAGUAGUGAAUAUUGCUCAAUGGGAGAAACCCUGAGGCAGCAACGCCGCGUGGAGAAUGACACUUUUCGGAGCGUAGACUCCUUUUCUUGCGAGAGAAUUAUGACGGUACCCAAUGAAUAAGCACCGGCUAACUACGUG
rnacentral:rRNA from 1 species